rnacentral:rRNA from 1 species
UAUCUCUGUAGAGUCUGCAUAUCAAUAAGCGGAGGAAAAGAAACUAACUAGGAUUCCCCUAGUAACGGCGAGUGAAGCGGGGAAGAGCUCAAAUUUGAAAUCUUAAAGGGUUUUCCCUUGACGAAUUGUAGUUUAAAGAAGUGUUUUCUGUUGAAGUUUCGGUAAAAGUUCUUUGGAAUAGGACAUCAUAGAGGGUGAGAAUCCCGUAUUUGACCAGUUACUUUCCAGCUGUUGUGAUACACUUUCAAAGAGUCGGAUUGUUUGGGAAUGCAGUCCAAAAUGGGUGGUAAAUUUCAUCUAAAGCUAAAUAUUGGCGAGAGACCGAUAGCGAACAAGUACCGUGAGGGAAAGAUGAAAAGAACUUUGAAAAGAGAGUUAAACAGUACGUGAAAUUGUCAAAAGGGAAGCGUUUGACACCAGUGUUGUUUUCUCGAAAAUCAAUUAAAAAUGGCGGGAUUUUGUGUUGUAUUGACUUUAUCAGCUUUCUGCACUCUUUUUCCUGUCUUUUUUAAUGCACUUUUCGUUUAACAAGUCAACAUCAAUUUCUUUUGUUGUAAAAGGGUCAUUGGAAGGUGGCUUUCUUUUCGGAGAAAGUGUUUAUAGCCUUUGACUCCUGCAAUCGGAGAGACUGAGGUCUGCAGCGUAGAUCCUUCUUGGAUUAGAUUCAUUUGUGCUAAGUUAUAGCCUUUCAUAGACAACUUGUCGACUAUGAUCAGUCAUGUAGCUUACUCGCUUAUGUUAUUUUACCUACGCUUAGGAUGUUGAUCUCUCACAGUCGAGC